GGAAGCGUGCCUGAAAUAUUAAGGACUACUUUGAUAAAGCAGACAUGGAAUUAAACAACUCCCACUUCCC
rnacentral:tRNA from 1 species